rnacentral:rRNA from 1 species
AGGACUAACGCUGGCGGCGUGCCUAACACAUGCAAGUCGAACGAGAGUAGCAAUACUCUAGUGGCAGACGGGUGAGUAACACGUGGUCAACCUACCUUUAAGUGGGGGAUAACUAGCCGAAAGGUUAGCUAAUACCGCAUACGAUCUUCGCGUGGCAUCACAUGAAGAUGAAAGGAGCAAUCCGCUGAAAGACGGGACCGCGUCCCAUUAGCCAGUUGGUGGGGUAACGGCCUACCAAAGCAACGAUGGGUAGCUGGCUUGAGAGAGCGACCAGCCACACUGGGACUGAGACACGGCCCAGACUCCUACGGGAGGCAGCAGUGAGGAAUUUUCCGCAAUGGGCGAAAGCCUGACGGAGCGACGCCGCGUGUGGGAUGAAGGCCUUCGGGUCGUAAACCACUGUCGAAGGGGAAGAUAUUGACGGUACCCUUGGAGGAAGCCCGGCUAACUACGUGCCAGCAGCCGC